GAAAUGCGAUAAGUAGUGUGAAUUGCAGAAUUCAGUGAAUCAUCGAAUCUUUGAACGCACAUUGCGCCCCUUGGUAUUCCAUGGGGCAUGCCUGUUCGAGCGUCAUUUGUACCUUCAAGCUCUGCUUGGUGUUGGGUGUUUGUCUCGCCUCUGCGCGCAGACUCGCCUCAAAACGAUUGGCAGCCGGCGUAUUGAUUUCGGAGCGCAGUACAUCUCGCGCUUUGACAACAAAACGACGACGUCCAAAAAGUACAUUUUUUACACUCUUGACCUCGGAUCAGGUAGGGAUACCCGCUGAACUUAA
rnacentral:misc_RNA from 1 species